rnacentral:tRNA from 1 species
GUUCAGAUAGCUUAAUUGGUAGAGCAACCCAGGCCGGUAUCAUUAGGCCGGGUGGUUCGGGUUCGAAUCCCGAUCUGACCU